UCAUUAGUGGGUGUGUGCGUGUGUGUGCCCAUGUGUGUGCGUGUGGCCUACGUAAGUGUGUAUGUACUCCAAAGCUAAUUGUGUCCUCGAUGAUGUCAGUUCUAUAGCCUGUAAACAGAGCGACACGGAGGUCGGUGGGUGCAGUAGGGGCGCUAAAUGCUAGCUCGUUAAAUGCUAGCUAAAUGCUAAAUGCUAGCUCGCACCGUGGAUGCUAACGUUGUCGGUGAUAGCCCAACCCAGCACCCCUUGUCCCAGGUUUCCACUCAGAGCUGUACAGCUCUGGUUACGGCCAACAACAGCCAAGGUGGAGCAACGACAUUGCCAUCGCUGACCAGGGACCCCUGCGGCACCUUCAGCACGGAGACCUGCCAUGGCAACCUGUGCUCUGUCUCCACGGAAACCUGCAAUGCCAAGCACCACUGCUCUGUGGGGCAUGGAGCGCUGGUGCACGGAAAGAGGGAUGUCCGGGAAGAGAGGGAUGAAGAGGAGGACAAAGAAGAGAAAAAGGAAGAUGACCAGGUGGGGAGGAGAGAGGCCCUAAAAGCCCUUUGUAAUAUAAUCUACAACAGUCAGAGGGCGCAAAAGAGGGUCAGCACUCUGAGGAAGGCUGAAGCAGGGGAUCAGUGCCAAAGCUCUUCCAAGUGGGCAGUUUUAUGAACUAUGGCUGCUCUUCCUGCUGAUGGCCCUGAGGCCAGAGCUCAGGGUGUAACUGCAGCAGGAGUGAGGGGUGUCAAUGCUGUGUCUGUCUGUGCAGUGGGGGGAAGAGUACAAGAUGCUGAGCGACCACAGUGCGCCAACUGUCUCUAAGGAGGUGUCACAGAGGGCUGUGGAGAUCCUCAAGACCCUGUUCAACAUCGCAUAUACAGCUUCCACAGACAGGAGCCAGAUGAGGAGGAUCCAGCUCUCUAUCGCCGCCUGGCUGCAGUGCUACGACACUGCCUGCUGCUGACCAGUGAUGGAGAAGAACUCACUGAGGAGUUACAGGGGGUCAGAAGUUGAAGGAGAAACGGACUCCAAUCCUGAAUCUGUUGACUGAGAGCUGCCACUCGCACCGCGAGACACGCCACUACCUCAGACAACAGAUCCUUCCCCCUCUGUGGGACAUGGCACUGAGGCCAGAGCAGGGGGCCACAGUGAGGGGACGUGGACGCGGACAUCAAGCACUGUGCUGCCGAGCUCCUCUUUGUGCUCUGCAAAGAGAACGUGAGUUGUUUUGUGAAGUACUCAGGCUAUGGUAAGCACAGGGUUCGCUGAGUGGAGGUCAGGUGACCCACGCCUAGUACUCUAGCGACUCAGACUCUGACACAGAGGAAUACAGGGAAGCUAAGGGGCGCAUCAACCCAGUGACGGGGAGGGUGGAGGAAGAGCAGACAGACCCCAUGGAGGGAAUGACGGAGCAGGAGAAAGAGCAGGAGGCACUAAGACUCAUCAGCCUGUUUAUAGCAGGCUCUCACGGGACAUGAUCAUCCAACCAGUGGGAGUGACAAUAGGGGAGAGACUGGAGUCCCUGUGUGGUCAAAUGAGGGGCAGUACUGUGGAAGAGGUGGAAUCAGAGGGAGAGAGAGGAAGAGAGGGAAAAGUAGGGAGGAGAGAAAAGAAAAAUGAGAGAUAGGAGGGUGGAGUAAGAAGAUUACAAGAGUUACUGCAUAGGAUGAAGUUACAGAAUAUGAUGGUAGAGAGAGAGAGAGAGAGAGAGAGAGAGAGAGAGAGAGAGAGAGAGAUAAGAGAUAAGAGGUUGGUUUGUAUUUAUAUAGCACAGUGGUGGAAAAAGUAUCCAAUUGUCAUACUUGAGUAAAAGUGACAAUACCUUAAUAGAAAAUGCUGCAAGUAAAUGUGAAAGUAACCUAGUAAAACCUAUUUGGUUUUAAAUAUACUUAAGUAUUAAAAGUAAAAGACAAUGCAAAAAAUAUACACUGCUCAA